CAUCUUUUACCUUUACAUUUGGAGACAAUUUAAUGGAACUGACUAGUCUACAGCUGAUUGGAUAUGUGCUCUGUCACGUUAGCUGCUGUCUUGAGAGUUUCAGUACCCACUGUAGGUCACAGUGAGAGGGUAUCGUCUCUGUCCUCUGAUAUGAGAGUCACUGACACGCGUGGACUCUAUAAUGUGGUAAUAAAGGGUAAUGGGGAUUUCUUCUGUGAUGUAGACUUUUGGGCACUUCCAAAUUAAGUGUCAGAAUCCUUAACAUGUUUUGGAGAAAGGAAUAUGAGCCAAUAAAUUAGAUUAACUGUAAAAGGGAUAAUAACAGACCCACUUUAUUCGGUGGAUGUGAGUGUGACUGAGAGGACAUAUACCCAGGGCCUGGCUGGGGUGAGAGCUCAGGGGAAGGCCCAGGGUGGUGAGGCCUGGAGCUUUUGAAAUUUGGGGGGGAUCCCAUAAGAAAAAGAAAAAAUGCAAAAAUCUGAAUUAAAAAUAUAAUAGAUCUCCACAAAUUCAAAAAUGUUAAAAGCCAACCAUUGUCACAAACAUCAUAACAUCCAGA
rnacentral:lncRNA from 1 species